rnacentral:rRNA from 1 species
UACAGAGGGUGCGAGCGUUAAUCGGAUUUACUGGGCGUAAAGCGUGCGUAGGCGGCCAAUUAAGUCAAAUGUGAAAUCCCCGAGCUUAACUUGGGAAUUGCAUUCGAUACUGGUUGGCUAGAGUAUGGGAGAGGAUGGUAGAAUUCCAGGUGUAGCGGUGAAAUGCGUAGAGAUCUGGAGGAAUACCGAUGGCGAAGGCAGCCAUCUGGCCUAAUACUGACGCUGAGGUACGAAAGCAUGGGGAGCAAACAGGAUUAGAUACCCUCGUAGUCC